rnacentral:rRNA from 1 species
CCUACGGGUGGCAGCAGUGGGGGAUAUUGCUCAAUGGGCGAAACCCUGAUGCAGCGACGCCGCGUGAGGGAAGAAGGUCUUCGGAUUGUAAACCUCUGUCUUUGGGGAAGAAGAUGACGGUAUCCAAAGAGGAAGCUCUGGCUAACUACGUGCCAGCAGCCGCGGUAAUACGUAGGGAGCGAGCGUUGUGCGGAAUUACUGGGGGUAAAGGGAGCGUAGGCGGGGAUGCAAGUUGGAUGUUUAAACUAGCGGCUCAACCGGUAAUUGCAACCAAAACUGCAACUCUUGAGUGAAGUAGAGGCAGGCGGAAUUCCUAGUGUAGCGGUGAAAUGCGUAGAUAUUAGGAGGAACACCAGUGGCGAAGGCGACCUGCUGGGCUUUAACUGACGCUGAGGCUCGAAAGCGUGGGGAGCAAACAGGAUUAGAUACCCCUGUAGUC